ensembl:lncRNA novel transcript
CAGUGUCUGCACACCUCAUUCCUCUUGGUCGUGAGACAAGAACUCAGAACUUGCUGAAAUGCAGAAGUGAAAGAGCAGUAUCACUCCAUCCUGCUGAACUACGGGAGUGAAGAAGCCACAGUAGGACUUUACUAGAAGUGAGGAUUGGAGAACAGAAUCUUUCCAAAAGUUUUGAAGAAGCUUCCAUGUUGUGAGAGAGCAUAUGGAGGGGGCCACGUGGCAAGGAACUGUAGUGGCCACUGAGUACUGAGAGUGCUGAGUGCUGAACAUAGAACCUCAGGGCAACAGUUGCAAAGACAUGAAUUCCACCAACAACAUGAAGGCCUUGGAAAUGGAUUAUUCUCUAGUCCAGGCUCUGAUCACCACAGCCCCAGCCAACACCUGAAUUUGAGCCUUGUGAGACCCUGGAGUAGAGAACUUAGCUAGGAUAUGCCUGACUUCUGCCCUACAGAAACAAAGACAUAAUAAA